AACGUAGGAGACAAACGUUAUCCGGAGUUACUGGGCGUAAAGGGCGUGUAGGCGGUUAGUUAAGUCUGGCGUGAAAGCUCUCGGCUAAACCGGGAGAGGUCGUUGGAUACUGGCAAACUAGAGGACGGUAGAGGCGUGUGGAAUUCCGGGUGUAGUGGUGAAAUUCGUAGAUAUUAGGAAGAACACCAGUGGCGAAGGCGGCUCACUGGCCCGGUACUGACGCUCAUGUGCGAAAGCGUGGGGAGCAAACAGG
rnacentral:rRNA from 1 species